rnacentral:rRNA from 1 species
UCUGGCUCAGGAUGAACGCUAGCUACAGGCUUAACACAUGCAAGUCGAGGGGCAGCGAGAGGAAAGCUGCUUCCUGUCGGCGACCGGCGCACGGGUGAGUAACGCGUAUCCAACCUUCCCCAUAGUAGAGGAUAGCCCGGCGAAAGUCGGAUUAAUACUCUAUGUUGUGUCAUGAGGACAUCUGAAUAACACUAAAGAUUUAUCGCUAUGGGAUGGGGAUGCGUCUGAUUAGCUUGUCGGCGGGGUAACGGCCCACCGAGGCGACGAUCAGUAGGGGUUCUGAGAGGAAGGUCCCCCACAUUGGUACUGAGACACGGACCAAACUCCUACGGGAGGCAGCAGUGAGGAAUAUUGGUCAAUGGGCGCGAGCCUGAACCAGCCAAGUAGCGUGCAGGAAUGACUGCCCUAUGGGUUGUAAACUGCUUUUAUGCGGGAAUAAAGUCAGGUACGUGUACCUGUUUGUAUGUACCGCAUGAAUAAGGACCGGCUAAUUCCGUGCCAGCAGCAGC